rnacentral:rRNA from 1 species
GUACACUCCUACGGGAGGCAGCAGUGAGGAAUAUUGGACAAUGGGUGGAAGCCUGAUCCAGCCAUCCCGCGUGCAGGAAGACGGCCCUAUGGGUUGUAAACUGCUUUUAUCUGGGGAUAAACCUACUUACGUGUAAGUAGCUGAAGGUACCAGAAGAAUAAGCACCGGCUAACUCCGUGCCAGCAGCCGCGGUAAUACGGAGGGUGCAAGCGUUAUCCGGAUUUAUUGGGUUUAAAGGGUCCGUAGGCGGACUGAUAAGUCAGUGGUGAAAUCCGACAGCUUAACUGUCGAACUGCCAUUGAUACUGUUAGUCUUGAGUAAGGUUGAAGUGGCUGGAAUAAGUAGUGUAGCGGUGAAAUGCAUAGAUAUUACUUAGAACACCAAUUGCGAAGGCAGGUCACUAAGUCUUAACUGACGCUGAUGGACGAAAGCGUGGGGAGCGAACAGGAUUAGAAACCCGAGUAGUCCCA